AGAGUUUGAUCCUGGCUCAGAAUGAACGCUGGCAGCAUGGAUUAGGCAUGCAAGUCGAACGAGACUCCGGGCUUCGGCCCGGAUGACAGUGGCGCAAGGGUGAGUAACACGUGAGUAAUCUGCCCCGAAGUCCGGGAUAGCCCAUGGAAACGUGGAUUAAUACCGGACGUGGCUGUAUGAACUGCGGUUUUAACAGUUAAAGAUUCAUUGCUUCGGGAUGAGCUCGCGGUCCAUCAGCUUGUUGGUGAGGUAAUGGCUCACCAAGGCGACGACGGAUAGCUGGUCUGAGAGGAUGACCAGUCACACUGGGACUGAGACACUGCCCAGACUCCUACGGGAGGCUGCAGUCGAGAAUCUUCCGCAAUGGGCGCAAGCCUGACGGAGCAAUGCUGCGUGCCGGAUGAAGGCCUUCGGGUCGUAAACGGCUGUCACUCGGGACGAAUUUUGACGGUACCGAGAGAGGAAGCCACGGCUAACUACGUGCCAGCAGCCGCGGUAAUACGUAGGUGGCGAGCGUUAUUCGGAAUUAUUGGGCCUAGAGGGUUCGUAGGGGGUAAUGUAAGUCCGGUGUGAAAUCUCGAGGCUCAACCUCGAAACUGCAUUGGAAGCUGCGUUACUUGAGUGUCAGAGAGGAAAGCGGAAUUCCUGGUGUAGCGGUGGAAUGCGUAGAUAUCAGAAGAACACCGACGGCGAAGCAGCUUUCUGGCUGACACUGACCCUGAUGACGAAAGCUAGGGUAGCGACAGGAUUAGAUACCCUGGUAGUCCUAGCUUGUAACGUUGUGCCACUGGAUGUGGGCGGAUUUGGUCC
rnacentral:rRNA from 1 species